rnacentral:lncRNA from 1 species
GGGUUUCCCCUCUUUUCAGUGGCUGGUACCUUCCAAGAUUCAGAGAUCCUCGAUCAACAACAACAGAAAAUGUCCUCACCAUGUUCUGAAAGCCUUCCAAAGCAUGGCAGAAUGAAGAACGAGGAGAUGGCAAACUCUACCACCAGCCUGAGGUCCCAGCUGCCCUUCUAUCCAGAAAUGUUUUCAUCUCACCACACAGAGCUUCACAUGCACCCUUUUCAAAACCCACACUAGCUUCUCGAUUUCUUGCACAACAGAAACUAAUAUGUUAGACCUUCGUAAUAAACGUUAACCCUUUAAAGAGUAUCUAAUGUUUGCCCCACAAGAACCUGUAAAAAUAUGUCCAUUUCGCACACACAGAACAAGGCUGCCUACAGAAAGAGCGAGGUGUGUGUUUUUCAGAUGAAAGAUGUCUUUCUAAAGUGCAGCAUUGUUACUACAGGCGCAUUAUAUCUGAAAUGGAUGCACUCUUGAAAGAUAAUGAAUGAUAGCACUUCCUUAUUGUUGGUACCCACCCAUCACUCUUCUUAAAAGCACGUGCUGUAUAGCAUUUGCAGUGUUCCUACAAAAGAAAAAUUUUAGAUGAUUUAAAUAGCUAACUGCUCCUAAUUGUUAUUCAGAAUAAAAGGUUGCACUUCUUAAGUGUUCCCCGCUUUUAACACUGUUUUUAGUACCUCCAUUUAAAGCCUGAAAAUAAAAUGCUUUUGCAUGUGAAAG